AUGUAUGUCUGUUGUGAUGUUAGUUACAGAUUGAUUCAAAAGGCUUCAGCUGCGGAUUUGUUGGUGGUCUAUUUUAGCUGGGGUGACCAGUUGGUUUGCAGACAACGAUGGAUUCUGCUGAUGGUUGAGCAAGUAGGUGGGAACGUCGCAUGGUGUGCGCUGCACAUUCCGGCAGUAUUCAAUUCUUCCUCGAAAGCCGCCGUCAUCUUGGCUGUGCUGUUCGAGGACGAGAAGUCAAGGCCCAAGCAUAGUUGCCAUGUUUCCGGUACGAUGGGAACGAGGAACGGGAACGAGGGACGAGAGUCGGAGGCUAGAAAAAAUAGGGUACAACGGGGGUAUACAUCUCUAGAACGAUUUUUCUAA
rnacentral:rRNA from 1 species